UGUGCUAAGCGGGGAGCUAGCGGUGCCCUGUACCCGCAAUCCGCUACAGCGGGGCUGAAUGUCUUUCGCGGCUUGCAUUGUGCGAGGCUGCGGCGAGUAAGGAAUGUUGAUUUUAAGGUCUUAUGCAACGGACUGCCGUGAACCGUGUCAGGAUAGGGAUAUAGCAGCACUAAGCGGUGAGGUUCGUGUGCCAUAAGGUAGCUUUAAAGGAGUUACCUGCCCGU
rnacentral:SRP_RNA from 2 species